CUGCCUUCUUGAAAACAUGAUAGGUUCAAUUUUAAAAUUUUAACUUAUUUAAUAAAUAAAAUAGAUUCAGAUUGCCAAUUUUUUUGACUUAAUCCAUAUCUCAUCUGACACAUAUCGGAUUAUUAAGAGCAGGCCCAGCGACAUGCACACCUCCCGGCAAGUCGAGACUGAAAAGUUUAAAGCGGCGCGGGAGAGAAAUAAAGCUCAAGCAACUAUUCAUUGGAUUCAAG
rnacentral:lncRNA from 1 species